rnacentral:rRNA from 1 species
AAACCUGAGGAACCCGAAAGAUCGAAUGGGAAGAUUCAGCGUCAGCUGCGCUUGCUCGGGCGCGGAUCGUGCGUCGUCUCGCGAUCGGACUUUUCGGUCUUGGGACGACGUAAUCUUUCCGUGCCUUGUUUAAGCGUCGUCGUCGUGCACUUCUCCCCUAGUAGAACGUCGCGACCCGUUGGGUGCCGGUCUACGGUCCGAGCGGUUUAGACUGUCGCGUCGCUUCGGCGCACGCGGCAGACCCUCGGUCGCCCGGCCGGCUGCCCGGCGGUCGAACAUAUAAGGUAUCUUGCCGCAAUCGAACGAAAUGCGUCGGGUCCGUCGCAAGCGAGGCCAGUGUGUAAGUGCGUUCAGCAGUUAUAGCGCGGAGUUACGGACCCUGUGCCGUACCCGCGGCUGGCCAGCUGUUGGCAGGCGGAGUCCUUCGACGGGCAAUACAGACGAAACGAUACCGGUCUGCGACGCUACUGCUUUGGGUACUCUCAGGACCCGUCUUGAAACACGGACAAAGGAGUCUAACAUGUGCGCGAGUCAUUGGGACAGCGAAGCCUAAAGGCGCAAUGAAAGUGAAGGUCGUACCCAAACAAGGUCGACCGAGGGAGGAUGGGCCGCGUUCGCGCGCGGCUCCGCACUCCCGGGGCGUCUCGUUCUCAUUGCGAGAAGAGGCGCACCCAGAGCGUACACGUUGGGACCCGAAAGAUGGUGAACUAUGCCUGGUCAGGACGAAGUCAGGGGAAACCCUGAUGGAGGUCCGUAGCGAUUCUGACGUGCAAAUCGAUCGUCGGAACUGGGUAUAGGGGCGAAAGACUAAUCGAACCAUCUAGUAGCUGGUUCCCUCCGAAGUUUCCCUCAGGAUAGCUGGCACUCGUUCGUUUCUAAUUGAACGUUAAACGAGUCUCAUCUGGUAAAGCGAAUGAUUAGAGGCCUUGGGGCCGAAACGACCUCAACCUAUUCUCAAACUUUAAAUGGGUGAGAUCUCUGGCUUGCUUGAAAUAUGAAGCCACGAGAGAAAGAGAUUUCGGAUCAGAGUGCCAAGUGGGCCAAUUUU